rnacentral:piRNA from 1 species
UGGGAUCAGUGAGUUCCUCUUUGGUGGA